CCUCUGCCUACAAAUAGUUCCAAAGUUAACCCAGGAACAGAGAAACAAGCUUCAGAGAGUUCCUGUUUUCCUGCUCCAAAGUGAUGACUGAAUAGAAACUAUGUUGACUGGUCCUCACAGGUGAUGGAAGAUUUGGUGGAAGAGAGGGAGAGAAACAGGAAACUGAGGAAGGCAGAUGAAAGAGGAAAUGUGGAGAGGAACAGAGAAGGAAAGGGAGAUGAAGUGGAAAAACAGGAGGCCCAUGUGCGUUGCUUAGCCUCUCACCAUGUGCAGGAAUGCAGCUCGUACCUAUGUGAUAAAGUGUUUGGCUGCCAAAGACUGGAUGCUGAACCCAGAUAGCAUGGAGUGGCAAAAGCAAUUUGCAACCAAUUAGCCUCAGACCACACGGACAUGCUUCAAGUCCAAC